rnacentral:tRNA from 1 species
GGAGAGAUGGCCGAGUGGCUUAAGGCGCACGCCUGGAAAGCGUGUUUACCCCAAAAGGGUACCGUGGGUUCGAAUCCCACUCUCUCCG